AAAUCAGGUAGGACUACCCGCUGAACUUAAGCAUAUCAAUAAGCGGAGGAAAAGAAACUAACAAGGAUUCCCCUAGUAACUGCGAGUGAAGAGGGAAGAGCUCAAAUUUAAAAUCUGUCAGUCUUUGGCUGGCCGAGUUGUAAAUUAGAGAAGUGCCUAUCUGCGCUGGCCUGUGCAAAAGUCUCUUGGAAAAGGGCAUCAUAGAGGGUGACAAUCCCGUCUUUGGUACAGAGCUCCAGGGCUUCAUGAUGCGCUCUCGAUGAGUCGAGUUGUUUGGGAAUGCAGCUCUAAAUGGGUGGUAAAUUCCAUCUAAAGCUAAAUAUUGGCGAGAAACCGAUAGCGCACAAGUACCGUGAGGGAAAGAUGAAAAGAACUUUGAAAAGAGAGUUAAACAGUACGUGAAAUUGUUGAAAGGGAAACGCUUGAAGUCAGUCGUGUCCUUCAGAAAUCAACCUGACCUUGGUCUGGCUUACUUUCUGGUGGAUGGGUCAGCAUCAAUUUUGAUCAUUGGAUAAAGGCCUUGGGAAAGUGACAUCUCCGGAUGUGUUAUAGCCCUUGGUUCAUAUACAGUGGUUGGGAUUGAGGAACUCAGUGUGAACUUGGGGCUUUGGCCUACAACACGCGCUUAGGAUGCUGGCAU
rnacentral:rRNA from 1 species